GACAGAGGGGGCAAGCGUUGCUCGGAAUCACUGGGCGUAAAGGGCGCGUAGGCGGGAUGGCAAGUCGGUCGUGAAAUCCUUCGGCCCAACCGAAGAACGUCGGCCGAUACUGCCGUUCUUGAGGGAUGCAGGGGAGACUGGAAUUCCCGGUGUAGCGGUGAAAUGUGUAGAGAUCGGGAGGAACACCAGUGGCGAAGGCGGCUCACUGGCCCGGUACUGACGCUGAGGUGCGAAAGCGUGGGGAGCAAACAGG
rnacentral:rRNA from 1 species